rnacentral:lncRNA from 1 species
AAACGCUGAAAUCUGCUCCGAAGGCUUCAGCUCGUGGACAGCUUGUGAAUUGUGCUCCCCUCGGUCUCUGCACAUCCCCAACAUGGACUUUCUGAGGUUUUUCUUCAGUGCUAAUUUUUUCCUUGCCUGCUCGUGAGUGCCCUCGCGUCCAGAGGACGAGGGGCAGAUGCGGGUGCCCUGCAGCAGUGCCCGGGGGCCUCUCCGGAGGGGCUUCUCCCACCGCCAUGGGGAACUGCUCUUCCAGCCCUGCACGGCGUCUUACUGCCAGGCCUGACGCUUCUCCUGACAAAGCCUGGUGAUUAGGGGGCUUGUUGGGAGGGCUAGCAGCGCUUGGAUGGUCUAAUUGCAGAGGGAAACAAUUGUAGUGACCAAAAUAUCCUUUUCCCACCCUAAGAAUACUGCUAGGCAGCUGCUCUUGGAAAUGAAGUGAUUCAUCUCUGCACUGCAAAAAUGGCUUUUUGAUGUUUUCUAUUUUCAGUUGCCAACACUGAUGUAAUUUUUAUAGAAAUUUAUUGCUAAGAAUGGCCAAAUAUAAGGAUUUUUCCCAGAAAAAACAAAUACCUGAAUGCCAUUGCUUCCCAUAGGGAAAAUCUACUAGAUUUUUUUCCUUAUUCUUUGAGCUGGCUGGAGAGUGUACUUGUGCUUGCACUUGUUCCAAUCUUAGACUUAAUUUCUGACUCUUGACAGCUGACAAUUAUUUGCUGUAUACUGCUAUUUUCAUAUUGGGGAAAAAAAUACUGCAAACAAUAGAUGUAUGGGAGUGGUGGACAAGGCAGUAUAGCGUGAUAUAUUGUAGUGCUGUGCCUUAGCUCGCAGUGGGCACUUACCCUUGUGAUGUACAUGCUGCUUGGCAACUACGGAGUGCGAAAGCUGCUGCCUGUGACCCAGGAUGGAUCAGCACACGCAGGCUGACACCUGGCACCUCUCCUCUGCAGCACAGCCAAGCCUGCACAGGAUUUACAACCGACUCCAGCUGCAGGAAGUCCCACAGGGCCAAGUGGCCCCCAAAAGUGCUCCGUGUCCCUGUGGUGCAGCCAGACGUACUGACGGGAUGGGACAGCUGGGGCUGGGAGAACCUUGGCCCAGAAGUGACUUUGAUCACCUGCUGCUGAUCCUGAAGCUUAUGCAAAAAUACCUUUCUCGUAACUGGCAGAGAUGGUGGGGGAAAACUAUGCUUUCUAAGUGUGAGUGGUGUGUGUGGAGAAGCCAUCCAAACUGUACAAAGCAAAAAUGAUGUCAACAUUGACCAUUAUUUGUAGGAAAAAAUCUUCAGGCCAUUGUGGAUAGCUUGAUCCUGUGUGCCCACUGGAUCAAUGUCAGGAGAAAUAAAGUAUUUCUUUUACGAAGAACUAAAUUGGU